rnacentral:rRNA from 1 species
GACGAACGCUGGCGGCGUGCUUAACACAUGCAAGUCGAACGAAAAGAGGGAAAGAGCUUGCUCUUUCCGGAAUUGAGUGGCAAACGGGUGAGUAACACGUAAACAACCUGCCUUCAGGAUGGGGACAACAGACGGAAACGACUGCUAAUACCGAAUAAGUUCCAAGAGCCGCAUGGCCCAUGGAAGAAAAGGUGGCCUCUACCUGUAAGCUAUCGCCUGAAGAGGGGUUUGCGUCUGAUUAGCUGGUUGGAGGGGUAACGGCCCACCAAGGCGACGAUCAGUAGCCGGUCUGAGAGGAUGAACGGCCACACUGGAACUGAGACACGGUCCAGACUCCUACGGGAGGCAGCAGUGGGGAAUCUUCCGCAAUGGGCGAAAGCCUGACGGAGCAACGCCGCGUGAGUGAUGACGGGCUUCGGGUUGUAAAACUCUGUGAUCCGGGACGAAAAGGCAGAGUGCGAAGAACAAACUGCAUUGACGGUACCGGAAAAGCAAGCCACGGCUAACUACGUG